AUUGAACGCUGGCGGCAGGCCUAACACAUGCAAGUCGAGCGGAUGAAGGGAGCUUGCUCCUGGAUUCAGCGGCGGACGGGUGAGUAAUGCCUAGGAAUCUGCCUGGUAGUGGGGGAUAACGUCCGGAAACGGGCGCUAAUACCGCAUACGUCCUGAGGGAGAAAGUGGGGGAUCUUCGGACCUCACGCUAUCAGAUGAGCCUAGGUCGGAUUAGCUAGUUGGUGGGGUAAAGGCCUACCAAGGCGACGAUCCGUAACUGGUCUGAGAGGAUGAUCAGUCACACUGGAACUGAGACACGGUCCAGACUCCUACGGGAGGCAGCAGUGGGGAAUAUUGGACAAUGGGCGAAAGCCUGAUCCAGCCAUGCCGCGUGUGUGAAGAAGGUCUUCGGAUUUUAAAGCACUUUAAGUUGGGAGGAAGGGCAGUAAGUUAAUACCUUGCUGUUUUGACGUUACCAACAGAGUAAGCACCGGCUAACUUCGUG
rnacentral:rRNA from 1 species